rnacentral:rRNA from 1 species
UGAGGAAUAUUGGUCAAUGGACGAGAGUCUGAACCAGCCAUGCCGCGUGAAGGAUGAAGGCGUUCUGCGUUGUAAACUUCUUUUGCGGGGGAAGAAACCUUGAUAUUCUUAUCAAGCCGACGGUACCCCGAGAAUAAGCACCGGCUAACUCCGUGCCAGCAGCCGCGGUAAUACGGAGGGUGCAAGCGUUAUCCGGAAUCAUUGGGUUUAAAGGGUCCGCAGGCGGGCUAAUAAGUCAGAGGUGAAAUCCCACAGCUUAACUGUUGAACUGCCUUUGAAACUGAUAGUCUUGAAUGAAGAUGGAGUUGGCGGAAUAGGUCAUGUAGCGGUGAAAAUCAGAGACAUGACCUAGAACACCGAAAGCGAAGGCAGCCCACUAAGCAAUGAUUGACGCUGAGGCACGAAAGCGUGGUGAUCAAACA